GCCUUCCUGGCUCAGUCAGUAGAGUGUGUGAUUCUUGAUCUUAGAGUCAUGAGUUCAAGCCCCAUGUUGGGCA
rnacentral:tRNA from 1 species